rnacentral:lncRNA from 1 species
CUCAAGUUCUUUCCUAUAUCGCUUGAUGUUCUUUACCAUCAAAUCUUUUCUGGUCAGUUCGUAGUGAUUGGGGAAAUGGUUGACAAUUUGGUCAUCUGAAAGGCGGUAACCAGUUUCCACACUGAAAACAUUUCUGAUUGUUUGUACACUCAUCCAAUAAAAAUUCCAGUCCUCAUUUUCUGCCACCUGAAUCCAGCCUCUUUUUUCAAAGUUGUUUAUUAGAACUGAUUUUUCUAUGUCCGUUACCCACUUCACUUUUCCUGCCAUUAUCCCAAAGCAGAAUCAACCUGCGCCGGCCGCGCCCGGCUCCAUCACC